rnacentral:lncRNA from 1 species
GGACUUCUGGUUUGAAUUAAUUCAAGACAUAACAUGUGAGCAAUGGCUGUGAGGUACCAAGUUUCUAACUUAAUAACAAUGGAGAUGAACAUGAAGAGCCACAAAGUAUAACACUAAUUUCAAUCUCAACAAUGCAUAACGUUUUGAUCUUAAAGAAAGAACUAGCUUAAAGAUAAGGCACAGAUGCUUGCAGAUCUGAAUAUUUGACAAAGAGAUAGGAAUUCAAGACAUUUCUCAAGAUGUUCAGUUAUAAAAUAGUUCCAGCUACAAUAACGAUCUGAUUACAAAUCCAUGUGUAACGCCACUGUUUUAUGCUACAUUUGUUAUUCAGGUCCAGUAGCCAGUGGUUCUUUGCGUAAUUGUUCAAAAGGACAUUUUGAGGUGCUUGUCCAGAUGUGAUUAUUUCUCUUCAGUAACAGGUCAAUCAUAUAUUUCUUUCAUCUAACUUUGUGCUUUGUUAUCUACAAACUAAUAGGUCGUUCUGUCUACAUACUAUCCGGCCAAGUGGAGGCGUAGGUAGCGUUAAAGGGUGGCCGCCUGUGGCUGUGUGGGAGUAUGCGUGUGUAAACGAAUCUCUGUACUCAACCUUCCUCUGCAAUCUCAGCCCCCUUCUCCAAGCUCAUCCCCCUUCUCCUCUGUUCCCCUCGUCCCUUCUCUGGACCCCGAUCCCCUCGAGCAGAUCAGGGUUGUUACAUUGGUUUUCAGAGCCAAAUUUUCUUCCCCUCACCGCCGCUGCACCGCCGGAGCUUGGGAGGUGGAUCGGUAACAUCCACCGCGUAUGGUGCGAGUCCGCUCGCCGGAUCUCGCCCAAAAUCCGUCACAGGGUUCGAUCCCCUUUCAGGCCGAAGCAACGGCGCCGUCGAAGCCCUCCGUUGCGACGCGGCAAGUCCUGGAGGCCAUGGAGGAAGGGAACGCCAACAUCGCAAAGAUGCUCGACUCCCUCCUCACCAAGCUCGACGAGCAGACCGCCCUCCGCGACAAGCAACUGGAGGCGCAACUCUCCUUCAACAACCAGAUCGCGCAGGAGCUGCGGGGUCUUGCGCGGCAGCUCGAUCUGACGCAGGCCGACGUUGAUGCGACCCGCAAGACCGUCGACUGCUCGGCCUCACAUGCGGGAUCCGUCACCACGUUGGUACCACCACCGCCGCCGCCGCCGCCGCCGCCUCCGUCUCCGCGUCACCAGCCCCACCACGCGGAACCCCAUCGCCCCGCUUCUGCUCACGCUCGCUUGGGGGACAAUCGACCACCACUCAUCCCGGUUCCCCCUCUUGGUGCGCCCAUGGCUGGGGUCACCGCGCCGCCGCCCAGCCCCAACUACACAGAGAACUCCUACCACAAACCACCGAAACACGAUUUUCCCCGUUUCGAUGGAUCCGCACCCUACCUCUGGUUGGAUCGGUGUUUAGCGUACUUUGAGCUCUACAAGGUGGGUCAACAUGUUUGGGUGCCCACCGCUGCUCUGUACAUUGAGGGCCAGGCAGCACACUGGCUCCAGGCGUUUCGCCAGAGCCACCGCAACUUGUCAUGGGACAUGUUCGCCGCCGCCGUGCUUGAAGAAUUCGGUGCAUACGAGUUCGAGCUCACCAUGCACUGUCUCCUUCAACUACAGCAGACGGGCAGCGUCGCCGAGUAUCGCACAUUGUUUGAUGAGCUCAUGUAUCAUCUUCUGGCGCUGGAUCCCUCCAUCAACAACAAAUUCUUCAUCACCCAGUUCUGUUUGGGCUUGAAGGACGAGCUACGCGCAGCAAUUUGCUUACAAGCCCGUCGAGCAUCACCCGCGCGUCUGUGCUUGCGCGCAUUCAAGAGGAAGAGCUGGGCACGACACGCCCACGGGUCCGACCGGUUCCUCCAGGGCGCCCGCCUCCACCAACGAACGCGGCGCCGCCGCGGCAAGCGGCUGUUCCACGCGCCACCGGUGACGAAUUCGCACGGGAGCGACAGCUGCGAGAUUAUCGGCGCGCCAACAAUCUUUGCUUCAAGUGUGGGGACAAAUACUCCCGGGAGCACCGCUGCGCGCAGCCGGCACAAUUGCUCACCAUCCAUGUGGGGGAGCAUGGCGAGGUUCUCUCCGACAACGCGAUCCAUGCUCUCCAACUCUUGGACGAUCCCGAACCACCAGCGCGGCUGGCGGAGUGCUACGUGCUGUCAGCUCAGGUGCUGGACGGCUCCGAUUCGCCAAGUACCAUUUGGCUGCGUGCUCUGGUGAGGAAUCAGGUGAUGCUGCUGCUCCUCGACUCGGGCAGCACCCACAGCUUCGUCAACAAGAGCUUCGUCGACCGUAUCGGCGCGCAAACUCAACCGCUGCCUCCGGUGGAAGUACGUGUCGCCAACGGUGAUCGCAUCACCUGUGAUCGCAUCGUGCCCGAUCUGAAAUGGUGGAUGCAGGGGCACACCUUCUCCACACCAAUGCGGGAGCUCGACAUCGGCGCCUAUGACGGCAUUCUGGGCAUGGACUGGCUGGCAUAGCACAGUCCCAUGACUUGCCACUGGCAAGACAAGUUUGUCUCAUUCAUCCACGACGGCGAACAAGUCACGCUGCGCGGCGUCAAGCCCAAGACCACCGAGACCCUGACGGCGGUGGAACCAGCAGAGCUUCACAAGUUGAUCGCCGGCAAUAAGGUGUGGGCAAUGGCCAUGGUGGAUGCCUGCCCGCCUGUCCAGACUAAGCGCAAGACACCGAGCCACACCCCACUCGCCGAUAUCCUCGACGAGUAUGCAGAUGUCUUCGCCGCGCCCCACGGCCCGCCACCACACUGACAGUAUGACCACGCCAUCACGUUGGUGGAAGGGACGAUUUCGGCCAACACUCGCCCCUACUGCUACUCUCCCCUGCAGAAAGACGAGAUCGAGCGACAGGUCCGUGAAAUGCUGGAUUCAGGGGUGAUCACACACAGCGUGAGCCCCUACGCGGCACCGGUGUUGCUCGUUAAGAAGAAGGACGGCACCUGGAGGUUUUGCGUCGAUUACCGCUGGCUCAAUGACGCAACAAUCAAGAACAAGUUUCCCCUACCAAUCGUGGAUGAACUGCUUGAUGAACUAGCGGGCGCCACAGUCUUCUCCAAGUUGGAUUUACAGUCCGGCUACCAUCAUAUUCGAAUGCGAGAAGAAGAUGAGGCCAAGACGGCGUUCAAGACCCAUCACGGCCAUUUUCAGUUCCGCGUCAUGCCGUUCGGCCUCACCAACGCUCCGGCAACAUUUCAGUGCCUGAUGAACGCGAUUUUCAGUAAGUACAUCCGCAAGUUCGUCAUCAUUUUCCUUGACGAUAUUUUGGUCUUCAGUGAAACAAUGGAAGAACACCUGGAACAUGUGCGCACGGUGAUGGGACUGCUUCGUCGACACCAACUCUAUGUCAAGGCCUCCAAGUGUGAGUUCGCCACCGAUCACAUCGACUACCUCGGCCAUGUGAUCUCCCGCGAGGGCGUCGCCACCGAUGCGGAGAAAACCUAGGCCAUGGUGCAGUAGCCUACGCCUACGACAGCGACGGAGCUUCGCGGUUUCCUCGGCCUCACUGGCUAUUACCGCAAGUUUGUGCCACACUACGGCAUCAUCGCCAAGCCCCUCACGCAACUCCUCACCAAGAAAGGCUUCGAGUGGACAGAGCACGCCCAGGCCGCGUUCGACCUGCUCAAGCAGGCCAUGGUCACCACCCCGGUGCUCGCACUCCCCAACUUCGACAAGCCGUUCGCCAUCGAGACGGAUGCCUGCGACACGGGCAUCGGCGCGGUGCUCACCCAGGAAGGGCAUCCCGUGGCUUACUUCAGCAAGGCGCUGGGCGCGCGUAACCAGAAACUCUCCACUUACGAGAAGGAGUUUCUCGCGGUGAUGAUGGCAGUGGACAAAUGGUGUCAGUGUCUUUAGUGCGGGCCAUUCGACAUCCUGCAACUUGGGAGAACAGCACCUGGAGACAGACGUUCAGCGCAAGGCCAUGUCCAAGCUCGUCGGCCUUCAAUUUCGCUUCUUGUACAAGCGCGGCCUCGACAACGGAGCGGCAGAUGCGCUCUCCAGAGUGGGCAAGCUGAUGGACCUGGCCGCGCUCUCGACCUGUCAGCCGGCAUGGUUGCAGGAGGUGGCUAACUCCUACACGACAGACGCGGAUGCCCAGGAACAUCUUCAGCACUUAGUCGUGUCCAGCCCGGAUGCAGAGAGGUAUGAGCUUCAUCGAGGCAUCAUUCGUCGCCAAGGCCGGCUCUGGAUCGGGGCUAACACGGCCCUGCGCACUAAGCUGAUCGCCGCGCUCCACAACAGCGCGGUGGGUGGCCACUCUGGCGUCACGGCGACCUACCACCGGGUCAAGAAGCAUUUCGAGUGGCGGGGCCUGAAGAAGGACGUGGAGGAAUUCGUGCACCAAUGCACCAUCUGUCAACAGGCCAAGCACGAGCACACCAAGCCAGCUGGCCUCCUCGCGCCCUUGCCCAUUCCGUCUGCGCCAUGGGAGGACCUAACAAUGGACUUCAUCGAGGGCUUGCCGGCGUCCGAGAGCUGCAACUCCAUCAUGGUCGUUGUCGAUCGCUUCACCAAGUUUACACACUUUGUGCCACUUCGCCACCCCUUCACUGCAGCAACAGUCGCCCGCGCGUUCUGGGACAACAUUGUGAAGCUGCACGGGAUUCCUUCUUCAAUUGUCUCCGACCGCGACAAGAUCUUCACCAGCAACCUCUGGCGCAAACUCCUCGAGAGCGCGGGCACCAAACUGCUGUACUCGACGGCAUACCACCCGCAGACCGAUGGCCAGAGCGAGAGGGUGAACCAGUGUCUGCAGAUGUACCUGCGCUGCACCGUCCACGACUCCCCCAACAAGUGGCGCCGCUGGCUACCGAUGGCUGAGUUCUGGUACAACUCGACCUUCCAUUCCUCCCUCAACUGCACACCCUUCAAGGCCCUGUAUGGCCGAGAAGCCAAUUUGGGCACCAUGGCAACCUGGGCAGAGGAGGCACCAACCGGCGACGACCUGGACUAGGCAGCUCAUACGAAUGCCAUCCGUGCGCAGCUGACGCUCGCCCAGCACCGCUUCAAGAAGCAGGCGGACAAGCACCGUGUCAAGCGCUCCUUCCAGGUGGGGGAACAAGUCCUCCUGAAGUUGCAGCCCUACGUGCAACGCUCGGUGGUCUCGCGCCCAUGCGCCAAGCUUGCAUAUAAGUUCUUCAGCCCCUACACCGUCUUGGAGAAGAUUGGACCACUGGCGUAUAGGAUGGAUCUGCCGCCAGACAGCCGCGUGCAUCCAGUCUUCCACGUCUCCCAGCUGAAGCCGUUCACGACGGAUUACACGCUAGUGUUCGCCGAGCUUCCCCGAGUCCACGACCUGUUGGCUUCACUGACAGAACCCGUCAAGAUCCUGGAGCGGCGCAUGAUGAAGCACGGCGACGCGCCCGUGGUGCAGCUCAAGAUCCCGUGGUCAUCGUCGUCUCCGGACGCGGCCACCUGGGAGGACUACGACGUUCUAUGCCGACGCUUUCCCACGGCCACCAUCUGGGAGGGAGAAGCCUCGUCUUAAGGAGGGGAGAAUGUCACGCCUAAGCAGCUGUUAGCGUGACGAAGGAGCUGGCUGGUGGGCCCAGCCAGCUGGCCGGCCAAGUGGAGGCGUAGGUAGCGUUAAAGGGUGGCCACCUAUGGCUGUGUGGGGGUAUGCGUGUGUAAACGAAUCUCUGUACUCAACCUUCCUCUGCAAUCUCAGCCCCCUUCUCCAAGCUCAUCCCCCUUCUCCUCUGUUCCCCUCGUCCCUUCUCUGGACCCCGAUCCCCUCGAGCAGAUCAGGGUUGUUACAAGGUUUGCCCGUGUUUUUGGUUGUGUUGCCAAAUCAUUUCAAAAUAUGUCCUUCAUAUGGAGUUAGAAUAUUUUAACGUUACAAUGGCAACCUAAAAUAGUGGAAGCUUUCCAGCAUUACCAAAGUUCCACUCCUGUUUCUAUUCAUUUUGGUCGCUCUGGUUAGUGUUAUUGUUGAAAAUUAAAUUAGUAAAAUAGCUUGUGAUAAAAAUAAGAAAGAUAUACUGGCCACCUGUGUGUUAAUUAUUGUUUCAAACCUGAAAAUGGAAGUCUAAAAAAAUCCCUAAAUGUUUUCUCCUUAGGACAGAGUUGUUGUUUUUGAGGAGCAAGGUACACGAUAUAUAUGUAGGGCCUCUUUGGUCAACGUCUCAAUGGAUAAAAGCCAAUGCACGUUCACUUUACAAAAAAAGGAGAGAAAACCUUCAUGUGUUUCAUAUGCUUACUCGUGGUGAUGCCAACCUUUUGCUAUUGCAAACGUUACUGGUUCUCUCAUAUCAAGAUCACCUUCUUUUCUGUUGCAGCAAACAUUACAUGAACUUUCAUGAGUUUGUUUACAAUUCCGAACUCCUCCAAUUGAACGGCUCAUCUACUGAAGUACUCCCUCCGUUUCAAAAUAGAUGACCCAACUUUAUACUAACUUUGUACUAAAGUUAGUACAAAGUUGAGUCAUCUAUUUCGGAACGGAGGGAGUACUCUAUUUGUGUACAGUUUUGUAGGAGUUUGGAGUACUCUGAGCACCUACCUGUAGCGUGCCAUCAAAACCACAUGCACAACAGGAGUUUUGCAUGGCAUGAGUAAUCUUCCUCUCCUUCCUCCCUCACAGUCUCUAACCGCCCUCUCCCUCUAGAUCCAAAUUUAGCUCUUACGUGUAAGAGUUUGCAUCAUGAAUGAAAGCAGAGCUGAUUCUCAUUUCAGUACUAGGUGGGUAGGGAUUAAUCCGUCAAAACGAAUGAUUAUAGUUAGGAAACCUGUCAAUAUGGUUAUAUGUAUUAGUAAUAAGAUUUUCAAUUAAUCCAAACAAGAAAAGCAUGUGAUUUUUUCUAUUUAGUAUUUAGUAUUUCUGGAAAACUAUACGCGAUCUUGCUAAUUUCAUACUACUAGAUUACAGUCGUACAUGCUCUUGCUUGUCUACAAAAUUUCAUUCUUGCAUCUAACCCUGAUUAAAGAAAUGCUUGAAUAGCAGGAUGGCAUUGGGUUGUCAUGUUUUACUGUCAUUUGCCUGUAGUACUCUAUUGACUCAGGUGCUUUGCUAUUAUAAUGUUGUCAUUUACGUUUAGUAAUAUGUUGACUCACAU